UAGGGAAUCUUCCGCAAUGGACGCAAGUCUGACGGAGCAACGCCGCGUGAGUGAAGAAGGUUUUCGGAUCGUAAAACUCUGUUGUUAGAGAAGAACAAGUGCUAGAGUAACUGUUAGCGCCUUGACGGUAUCUAACCAGAAAGCCACGGCUAACUACGUGCCAGCAGCCGCGGUAAUACGUAGGUGGCAAGCGUUGUCCGGAUUUAUUGGGCGUAAAGCGAGCGCAGGCGGUUCCUUAAGUCUGAUGUGAAAGCCCCCGGCUCAACCGGGGAGGGUCAUUGGAAACUGGGGGACUUGAGUGCAGAAGAGGAGAGUGGAAUUCCAUGUGUAGCGGUGAAAUGCGUAGAUAUAUGGAGGAACACCAGUGGCGAAGGCGACUCUCUGGUCUGUAACUGACGCUGAGGCUCGAAAGCGUGGGUAGCAAACAGGAUUAGAUACCCUGGUAGUCCACGCCGUAAACGAUGAGUGCUAGGUGUUGGGUCCUUUCCGGGAUUCAGUGCCGCAGCUAACGCAUUAAGCACUCCGCCUGGGGAGUACGACCGCAAGGUUG
rnacentral:rRNA from 1 species